rnacentral:rRNA from 1 species
AACGCUGGCGGUGCGCCUAAUGCAUGCAAGUCGAACGGGCAAUGGGGCUUCGGCCCCGGCGCUAGUGGCAGACGGCUGAGUAACACGUGAGUGAUCUGCCCCGGAGCGGGGGAUAAUCCGGAGAAAUCCGGCCUAAUACCCCGUACGUUCAUGUGGUCAUGGCCAUAUGAAGAAAGGCUUCGGCCGCUCUGGGAGGAGCUUGCGGCCUAUCAGGUAGUUGGCGGGGUAAAAGCCCACCAAGCCGAAGACGGGUAGCCGAUGUGAGAGCAUGAUCGGUCAGAGGGGGACUGAGACACGGCCCCCACUCCUACGGGAGGCAGCAGCAGGGAAUCUUGCGCAAUGGGCGAAAGCCUGACGCAGCGACACCGCGUGGGGGAAGAAGGCCUCAGGGUUGUAAACCCCUUUUCUGGGGGAAGAGAUAGGACGGUACCUCAGGAAUAAGCAUCGGCUAACUACGUGCCAGCAGCCGCGGUAAUACGUAGGAUGCAAGCGUUGUCCGGAUUUACUGGGCGUAAAGGGUGUGUAGGCGGCAUGGUA